UGGAGACAGAGGAAGGCAGAGAUUGGAAAAGUGAGAGAGGUUGACAUGGAGGACACUCUCCCUUGCUGGCUUUGAAGCUGAAGGCCACGUGAGAAGGAAUGCAGGCGGCCUUAGGGGCCUCCACCCUACAGCUGCAAGAAACUGAAUUCUGCCAACAACCUCGCGUGCCUGAAAGCCCUGAGCCCAGAAAGGAACUCAGUGCAGCUCUCACCUUGAUUGCAACCUUGUAAACACUGAGCAGAGAACCAACUCAGCUGGGCCUGGAUUUGAGGCCUACAGAAAUCAGGAGAUAAUAAACAGGUGUUGUUUAAAACGGCUCAGCUUGUGUUAAUUGGUUCCACAGCCAUGGAAAUUGAAUACAGAAGGUGAUAAACGAUGAACCGGAACUUAAACCCAGGACGCAGCCCAGGCCCCUCCCACCACGGAGCUGCCUCUUCCGCCCUCUCUCCAUCUGGGAGGGAGAGUGAGAGGGCUUAUCGGACAGUCAGACUCUACAAGUGUUUAUUGAGAGGCUUUACGUACAUAGCCCUGGAUUAGGCCAUGGGUUUACAAGAUGAUUGAGACUCCGUAGCACCCUUCAGGGGGCUCGUGAAAGGCAAACAAGAGGCGGCUAGUGGAAGCGAUGCGGGAGAGACCAUGGCGGACACGCAGCAACGCGCUGCGAGAGCGGGACGCCGAGGAGGGAGGCUCUCAAGGAAAGGAGGCUUUGAGCUUGGAUUUGAAGACUUUAGUCGGAGGCCACCACAUGCAAAGUGGGAAGCGCAUAUGUGAAAAGUAUUAAAAACCAAACUCCGAGUGAAACAAGGCAGAAAGCAGAUUGGUUGCCUGGUGGUCUUAUUUGGAUCAGUAGCUGAGUCGGGGAGCAGGGAAGUCCCGACGUGGUGUGAACAGAGUUGGCGCUUGUGAAUUGGCUGGCGUCCUCUACUGAUCUCUGAGGAGAGCUGUAAAUUCCUACAACUUACAUUAGGAAUGCCUUGCCGGCAGAGCCCUAUCUGCUCCAUCUUUGACAUCUUGGCGCCUCCCUCCCCACCUUCACUCCUGGAGAAGACUCACCCUGGCUUCACCCUGACUUCUGUUUCCAAAGAAUCUUGGAGCAGCUUUCUGGUGAGGAAACUGAGGCAGAAGGCCUAGAGAUGCUGAAGCCACAAACAACACAGAAGAAUCACAGCAGAGGCAAAGCUAGUGGGAGAUGAUCAAGUACCCUUCCUCUCUGCAUUCUUCUGCCUGGACCCUCCCUGUCUCUUAGCAGAUCAUACUCUACUCUGGAGAAGAGGAUAUGUGGAAUAUUUUUGCAGAAGGAGACUAGUCAUGCAACACGCUUAGAGCCUGAAGCUUGAAUUGGCUUUCAAAUAUGACUGAACAACUUAAAAGGUGGAUGAUUUUAGGACUCCGCCCAGCAACGGGAAUGCUGGGCAGGAGAACCACACUCCCGGGGCUAGAGACUUGAGCCUCAGACUUGCUCAGAAGUACCAAAAAGCAAAGAAAGUCUGGCCGUUAGAACUGCCACUCUGCCAUCAGAGAGAUUGGAGACUCCAGAGGCUGCG